rnacentral:lncRNA from 1 species
AAUGACCCCUCCAAUCAAGGAUUUGCUUCCAAGGUUGACACCGAUUCUGAAAAAUAGACAUGAGAAGGUCCAGGAGAACUGUAUUGAUCUUGUUGGCCGUAUCGCUGAUCGAGGUGCAGAGUUUGUACCAGCUAGGGAGUGGAUGAGGAUUUGUUUUGAGCUUCUUGAGAUGCUUAAAGCUCACAAGAAGGGUAUUCGAAGAGCUACUGUCAAUACCUUUGGAUAUAUUGCUAAAGCCAUUGGCCCACAAGAUGUCCUGGCAACUCUUUUGAACAAUCUCAAAGUGCAGGAACGCCAGAACCGUGUUUGCACAACUGUGGCUAUCGCAAUUGUUGCUGAAACAUGUUCACCUUUUACAGUUUUGCCAGCAUUGAUGAAUGAGUACCGUGUGCCAGAACUUAAUGUGCAGAAUGGUGUCUUGAAGUCUCUUUCCUUCCUUUUUGAGUAUAUUGGUGAAAUGGGAAAGGAUUACAUCUAUGCUGUGACUCCAUUACUUGAGGAUGCUCUUAUGGAUAGAGAUUUGGUUCACAGGCAAACUGCAGCUUCAGCUGUCAAGCACAUGGCUUUGGGUGUUGCCGGGUUAGGUUGUGAGGAUGCUUUAGUCCACUUGAUGAACUAUGUCUGGCCCAACAUAUUUGAGACUUCACCUCACGUAAUCAAUGCUGUAAUGGAAGCCAUCGAAGGGAUGAGGGUAGCCUUAGGUGCUGCAAUUGUGCUGAACUACUGUCUCCAGGGACUCUUCCAUCCUGCGCGUAAGGUUAGGGAAGUUUAUUGGAAGAUUUAUAAUUCACUCUAUAUUGGAUCCCAAGAUG